GGAAACCGUUCCCAACUCCUGCCUUUGGUGUCAGCUCGACAGGAUCAUGUGGCUAGACCAUGUGCUCUUGAUCCAGGCCGGGGUCACCAUCAGGGGGAUCUAAUUUCACCUCUCGUACCUGUUCUGCUUUUUGUUUCAGUGUUUCUUUGAAGGGGUGAAAUUCUCUAGGGCUAUGACACCAGAAGUCAGCAAAACUCCUCCUCAAUCAUCAGCCUGGACCAAGUUAUCGACCUGCCUGCAGUGGAAGCCAUAGAGAACGUAUUCUCCCUCAGGUAUUCCGCAAACCUGUGUCCUGCAGAGUGUGGUUGCUGUCCAACAUUUGGAUCCUUCCAGUGGCCCAGGCGUCGGGUGUUCGUCAGCCUCUGGAGCAAGUCUGUGACCCAGAUAAGAUCCAAAACCACUGUUCUGGAAAGAUGAGAAGGUCAACAGUUUCCAGAAGCCCCGAUAAGCCCCAUCUCCACCCCCAGCAAAAAAGAAAGAGAAAAGAAGAUACCUUCAUUGGCUCAAAGUGAGGAAACCUCAGUGGCUGCGAAAACAGUCAGCAACCCGGCAGCGGGGGUCGUUUGAGAGCAGACAGUGGAUUUCCCUGCCCCCGAGAGGGCAAGGGCCUUCUUCACAAAUCGCCACAACAUUGUGGGUGUCCCCUUCAGCUGAUGCUGGGCGCCCUGCCCUUUCCCCUCUGGACGCCCCCUCCUUCCUUGAUUGCAUAAUGAGAGGCUGAAAUUGUGUUUCCAAA
rnacentral:lncRNA from 1 species